rnacentral:lncRNA from 1 species
GAGUGUUGUGUGUUUUUUUGUGAUUUUUCGUGGUUUAUUUGGACAUUUUUAUGCAUUAACUGAGUUUUCAAUGCAUUUUAUGUGCAUAAUACAAAUUUGAACUACAUGCACAUGCUCCAGUGCAUAUAAAUUGGUUGAAAAAUCAAAUCUGUGUACUUGGGUGCAUGCUUAGGUCCCUUGCAAGAAAUGGGAAUGAAUUUCAAACACCGGGGCACCGUUGAUUGCCGGCAAAACAUUGAGAUGCCUGGUUUUUAAAUUCUAGUAAAUCCAAAACUCAUCGGAAAUUCAUGAAACUUGGCAUGCUAUCAUGGAGCGGCAUCAACAUGCCGUGGUACAAAGUUUGUCCCAUUUGGGACAAGUUUGGGUAUAUGCUUCUCACAAACCGGAGCUUCUCACAACAAGCAUGAUGGUUUUCGGUAGGGAACGUCCCACCUUUGGGGACGAAACGAUAUCCAUUGCCUCUUAUUGCUUCCAAAUUUUAUUUCUCGUGUCAACAUAGAACAAGAGGAGUGUUGUCUGAUUUUUUUUUGAUUUUUCGGGGUUCGUUUGGACAUUUUUAUGCAUUAACUGAGUUUUCAACGCAUUUUAUGUGCAUAAUUCAAAUUUGAACUACAUGCACAUGCUCCAGUGCAUACAAAUUGGUUGAAAAAUCAAAUCUGUGUCCUUGGGUGAAUGCUUAGGUCCCAUGCAAUAAAUGGGAAUGAAUUUCAAACACCGGGGCACCGUUGAUUGCCGGCAAAACAUUGAGAUGCCUUGUUUCUAAAUUCUAGUAAAUCCAAAACUCGUCUAAAAUUCAUGAAACUUUGCAUGCUAACAUGGAGCGGCAUCAACAUGUCGUGGUAUAAAUUUAUUCCCAUUUGGGGCAAGUUUGGGUAUAUGCUUCUCACAAACUGGAGCUUCUGACAACAAGCAUGAUGGUUUUCGGUAGAGAACGUCCCACCUUUGGGGACGAAACGAUAUCCAUUGCCUCUUAUUGCUUUCAAAUUUCUUUCUCGUGUGAACAUAGAACAACAGGAGUGUUGUGUGAUUUUUUGUGAUUUUUCGGGGUUCGUUUGGACAUUUUUAUGCAUUAACUGAGUUUUCAACGCAUUUUAUGUGCAUAAUACAAAUUUGAACUACAUGCACAUGCUCCAGUGCAUAUAAAUUGGUUGAAAAAUCAAAUAUGUGUCCUUGAGUGCAUGCUUAGGUCCCAUGCAAUAAAUGGGAAUGAAUUUCAAACACCGGGGCACCGUUGAUUGCCGGCAAAACAUUGAGAUGCCUUGUUUUUAAAUUCUAGUAAAUGCAAAACUCGUCUAAAAUUCAUGAAACUUUGCAUGCUAUCAUGGAGCGGCAUCAACAUGUCGUGGUACAAAUUUUAUCCCAUUUGGGGCAGGUUUGGGUAUAUGCUUCUCACAAACCGGAGCUUGUCACAACAAGCAUGAUGGUUUUCGGUAGGGAACGUCCCACCUUUUGUGACGAAAUGAUAUCCAUUGCCUCUUGUUGCUUUCAAAUUUUUCUCUCGUGUCAACAUAGAACAACAGGAGUGUUGUGUGAAUUUUUUUCGAUUUUCCGGGGUUCGUUUGGACAUUUUUAUGCAUUAACUGAGUUUUCAACGCAUUUUAUGUGCAUAAUUCAAAUUUCAACUACAUGCACAUGCUCCAGUGCAUAUAAAUUGGUUGAAAAAUCGAAUAUGUGUCCUUGGGUGCAUGCUUAGGUCCCAUGCAAGAAAUGGGAAUGAAUUUCAAAUAUCGGGGCACCGUUGAUUGCCGGCAAAACACUGAAAUGCCUGGUUUUUAAAUUCUAGUGAAUCCAAAACUCGUCUGAAAUUCAUGAAAUUUGGCAUGCUAUCAUGGAGCGGCAUCAACAUGCCGUGGUACAAAGUUUGUCCCAUUUGGGGCAUGUUUGGGUAUAUGCUUCUCACAAACCGGAGCUUCUCACAACAAGCAUGAUGGUUUUCGGUAGGGAACGUCCCACCUUUGGGGACGAAACGAUAUCCAUUGCCUCUUAUUCCUUUCUAAUUUUUUCUCUCGUGUCAACAUAGAACAACAGGAGUGUUGUGUGAAUUUUUUUCGAUUUUCCGGGGUUCGUUUGAACAUUUUUAUGCAUUAACUGAGUUUUCAACGCAUUUUAUGUGCAUAAUUCAAAUUUCAACUACAUGCACAUGCUCCAGUGCAUAUAAAUUGGUUGAAAAAUCAAAUAUGUGUCCUUGGGUGCAUGCUUAGGUCCCAUGCAAGAAAUGGGAAUGAAUUUCAAACACCGGGGCACCGUUGAUUGCCGGCAAAACAUUGAGAUGCCUGGUUUUUAAAUUCUAGUGAAUCCAAAACUCGUCUGAACAUGAAAUUGGGCAUGCUAUCAUGGAGCGGCAUCAACAUGCCGUGGUACAAAUUUGUCCCAUUUGGGGCAUGUUUGGGUAUAUGCUUCUCACAAACCGGAGCUUCUCACAACAAGCAUGAUGGUUUUCGGUAGGGAACGUCCCACCUUUGGGGACGAAACGAUAUCCAUUGCCUCUUAUUCCUUUCAAAUUUUAUUUCUCGUGUCAACAUAGAACAAGAGGAGUGUUGUCUGAUUUUUUUGAUUUUUCGGGGUUCGUUUGGACAUUUUUAUGCAUUAACUGAGUUUUCAACGCAUUUUAUGUGCAUAAUUCAAAUUUGAACUACAUGCACAUGCUCCAGUGCAUAUAAAUUGGUUGAAAAAUCAAAUUUGUGUCCUUGGGUGCAUGCUUAGGUCCCAUGCAAUAAAUGGGAAUGAAUUUCAAACACCGGGGCACCGUUGAUUGCCGGCAAAACAUUGAGAUGCCUUGUUUUUAAAUUCUAGUAAAUCCAAAGCUCAUCUAAAUUUCAUGAAACUUUGCAUGCUAUCAUGGAGCGGCAUCAACAUGUCGUGGUACAAAUUUUGUCCCAUUUGGGGCAGGUUUGGGUAUAUGCUUCUCACAAACCGAAGCUUCUCGCAGCAAGCAUGAUGGUUUUCAGUAGGGAACGUCCCAGCUUUGGUGACGAAACGAUAUCCAUUGCCUCUUAUUGAUUUCAAAUUUUUCUCUCGUGUCAACAUAGAACAACACGAGUGUUGUGCGAUUUUUUCUGAUUUGUCGGGGUUCGUUUGGACAUUUUUAUGCAUUGACUGAGUUUUCAAUGCAUUUUAUGUGCAUAAUUCAAAUUUCAACUACAUGCACAUGCUCGAGUGCAUGUAAAUUGGUUGAAAAAUCAAAUCUGUGUCCUUGGGUGCAUGCUUAGGUCCCAUGCAAUAAAUGGGAAUGAAUUUCAAACACCGGGGCACCGUUGAUUGCCGGCAAAACAUUGAGAUGCCUUGGUUUUAAAUUCUAGUAAAUCCAAAACUCGUCUAAAAUUCAUGAAACUUUGCAUGCUAUCAUGGAGCGGCAUCAACAUGUCGUGGUAGAAAUUUGUCCCAUUUGGGGCAGGUUUGGGUAUAUGCUUCUCGAAAACCGGAGCUUCUCACAACAAGCAUGAUGGUUUUCGUUAGAGAACGUCCCACCUUUGGGGACGAAACGAUAUCCAUUGCCUCUUGUUGCUUUAAAAAAAAUCUCGUGUCAACAUAGAACAACAGGAGUGUUGUGUGAAUUUUUGUGAUUUUUCGGGGUUCGUUUGGACAUUUUUAUGCAUUAACUGAGUUUUCAAUGCAUUUUAUGUGCAUAAUUCAAAUUUGAACUACAUGCACAUGCUCCAGUGCAUAUAAAUUGGUUGAAAAAUCGAAUCUAUGUCCUUGGGUGCAUGCUUAGGUCCCAUGCAAUAAAUGGGAAUGAAUUUCAAACACCGGGGCACCGUUGAUUGCCGGCAAAACAUUGAGAUGCCUUAUUUUUCAAUUCUAGUAAAUCCAAAACUCAUCUAAAUUUCAUGAAGCUUUGCAUCUAUCAUGGAGCGGCAUCAACAUGUCGUGGUACAAAUUUUGUCCCAUUUGGGGUAGGUUUGGGUAUAUGCUUCUCACAAACCGAAGCUUCUCACAGCAAGCAUGAUGGUUUUUGGUAGGGAACGUCCCAGCUUUGGUGACGAAACGAUAGCCAUUGCCUCUUAUUGAUUUCAAAUUUUUCUCUCGUGUCAACAUAGAACAACACGAGUGUUGUGCGAUUUUUUCUGAUUUUUCGGGGUUUGUUUGGACAUUUUUAUGCAUUGGCUGAGUUUUCAAUGCAUUUUAUGUGCAUAAUUCAAAUUUCAACUACAUGCACAUGCUCGAGUGCAUAUAAAUUGGUUGAAAAUCAAAUAUGUGUCCUUGGGUGCAUGCUUAGGUCCCAUGCAAGAAAUGGGAAUGAAUUUCAAACACCGGGGCACCGUUCAUUGCCGGCAAAACAUUGAGAUGCCUGGUUUUUAAAUUCUAGUAAAUCCAAAACUCGUCUGAAAUUCAUGAAACUUGGCAUGCUAUCAUGGAGCGGCAUCAACAUGCCGUGGUACAAAUUUUGUCCCAUUUGGGGAAAGUUUGGGUAUAUGCUUCUCACAAACCGAAGCUUCUCACAACAAGCAUGAUGGUUUUCGGUAGGGAACGUCCCACCUUUGGGGACGAAACGAUAUCCAUUGCCUCUUAUUGCUUUCAAAUUUCUUUUCUCGUGUCAACAUAGAACAAUAGGAGUGUUGUGUGAUUUUUUGUGAUUUUUCGGGGUUCGUUUGGACAUUUUUAUGCAUUAACUGAGUAUUCACUGCAUUUUAUGUGCAUAAUUCAAAUUUGAACUACAUGCACAUGCUCGAGUGCAUAUAAAUUGGUUGAAAAAUCAAAUCUGUGUCCUUGGGUGCAUGCUUAGGUAACAUGCAAUAAAUGGGAAUGAAUUUCAAACACCGGGUCACCGUUGAUUGCCGGCAAAACAUUGAGAUGCCUUGUUUUUAAAUUCUAGUAAAUCCAAAACUCGUCUAAAAUUCAUGAAACUUUGCAUGCUAUCAUGGAGCGGCAUCAACAUGUCGUGGUGUAAAUUUUGUCCCAUUUGGGGCAGGUUUGGGUAUAUGCUUCUCACAAACCGGAGCUUCUCACAACAAGCAUGAUGGUUUUCGGUAGAGAACGUCCCACCUUUGGGGACGAAACGAUAUCCAUUGCCUCUUAUUGCUUUCAAAUUUUUUUCUCGUGUCAACAUAGAACAAUAGGAGUGUUGUGUGAUUUUUUGUGAUUUUUCGGGGUUCGUUUGGACAUUUUUAUGCAUUAACUGAGUUUUUAACGCAUUUUAUGUGAAUAAUUCAAAUUUGAACUACAUGCACAUGCUCCAGUGCAUAUAAAUUGGUUGAAAAAUCAAAUCUGUGUCCUUGGGUGCAUGCUUAGGUCCCGUGCAAUAAAUGGGAAUGAAUUUCAAACACCGGGGCACCGUUGAUUGCCAGCAAAACAUUGAGAUGCCUUGUUUUUAAAUUCUAGUAAAUCCAAAACUUGUCUGAAAUUCAUGAAACUUGGCAUCCUAUCAUGGAGGGCAUCAACAUGUCAUGGUAUAAAUUUCGUCCCAUUUGGGGCAGGUUUGGGUAUAUGCUUCUCACAACAAGCAUGAUGGUUUUCGGUCGAGAACGUCCCACCUUUGGGGACGAAACGAUAUCCAUUGCCUCUUAUUGCUUUCAAAUUUUUUUUCUCGUGUCAACAUAGAACAACAGGAGUGUUGUGUGUUUUUUUGUGAUUUUUCGUGGUUUAUUUGGACAUUUUUAUGCAUUAACUGAGUUUUCAAUGCAUUUUAUGUGCAUAAUACAAAUUUGAACUACAUGCACAUGCUCCAGUGCAUAUAAAUUGGUUGAAAAAUCAAAUCUGUGUAUUUGGGUGCAUGCUUAGGUCCCUUGCAAGAAAUGGGAAUGAAUUUCAAACACCGGG